AUGCGAUGGUGGCCGGAGCCCUGGAUGAGCCAUGAUCUGGAAAGGAGCGCGGAUCAAGGUCACCAGGACCGGAGUAGCAGGGACACCGGCGUGCCUAGGGAGCCGGAAGGGGACGCAACUCCCGAAGCGUGCCGGAGGCGAAGAUGCACCGGGAUGGACGGCCAACCAAGGUCGACUGAAACGCUCUCAAAUGAACAUCAGAAGGGCUUGAUCUGCUGUUCUCCGUCGCCCCUGCUACACCCAGCUUCCUAUCAUCCUCGAAUUGAUCCAGAUAUUGGGCUCAUCGUUGCACUCUUCUCACCGGCUGGUCUACUCGUUGGACGGGAAUCAAUGGCAGGAGGGGGAGGAGGAGGACUGGUGGUGCGUGUGUGGAAAGAAUGGGGGAUCCAGAUCUUGGUUGUCACCAGCUUCCUGCUUCAGCUCGUCCUCCUCAUCUUCGGUGGGUUCCGGCGGCGAAGCUCCUCUGCUGUGUUGAUGGCCUUCCUCUGGCUGUCCUACCUGAUGGCUGAUAACAUCGCGGUAUACGCCCUUGGCCACAUGACUCUGGAAAGCAGGCCCCGCGACGCUGGGCUUGUGGCGUUUUGGGCAACCUUCUUUCUGCUCCACCUCGGUGGUCAGGACACCAUCACCGCCUUCUCCAUGGAGGACAACCAGCUCUGGAGGCGCCACCUGCUGACUCUCGUGGUGCAGGCAUCAGGAGCCGGCUACGCCCUGCACCGCUACACCAUACCUGGUACCUGGACUUUGGUCUCAGCCACCAUAGUGAUGUUCAUAGUGGGUUUUCUCAAGUAUGGGGAGAGGGUGUGCGCUCUCCAAAGAGGGCCUAAGGCGCAAGUGAUCCACACUUGGCUGGGAUACUUGAUCCGUGCCAUCUCACUGCUUGGCACGGUGAUCGCAUUCUUGUUGUUCCUCCUUGACGACAGUAAAGGUGCUUACAGCAGAGUAGGUGUCUCCAUCAGUUACUUGCUAUUGGCUGGGGCCAUCAUCCUGGAAACAGCAUCGGUGUUUAGAGCUGUAGGAUCGACAUGGACGUGCGAGUACUUGCAUCGUCAGGGAUGGGACCGAACUAAUGCUAUUAUUAUUGGGCAACAUAAUGUGCUGGAUUACUACUGUCCAGAGGAAGCCAAGCUUACAAGGAUGAUCAAUAAGGUAACUCUACUUAAAGAGUGGUGGAUAAAGGUUGGAUUCUCAGGCAAUACGAAGAUCACAGUUGAGUUGAAGCAGCUAGUGCUAGCACGGAUAUUGAGAACAAUGACUGAUGAUUCUAGUACAUGGAGCAUCUGGGACUCACAGGGCAGAGCAGCGCUUGCGGAGUACGGGCUCUUGGAAAAUAGUUUCUGCUUUUCUGUCGAGGGCAGGAGUUUCACUGAUAUAAUUCACAUGUGGCAGGUUGCAACCGACAUUUACCUUAACCUCAACACGCCUGCUGAUAUGGAGGAUGGUAAACAACUUCUAGCAGCAAUAAAUGUACUAUCUAACUACAUGGGUUUUCUAAUGCUGCACCCAAGCUUACUGCCCACCGGAAUUCCACUCGAUCCUGCUGUCUCUAAUAGUGUGACGAAUGGCGAUAUAAUCUACGGUAUUUCUAGGAAGGAACUUGCAGUGCAAUUGCUUAGCAGGCGGGAUCGUUCUACGACCAAUCUCUCCGGACAUCUUGCUCGUGAGCUCCUUCAAAAGGGAUAUGACUUGCCGAUGCUGCAAGUCAUCUUCGGGGUGUGGGUGGAGUUGCUGUGCUAUGCAGCCCACCACAGCAACCAUAUUUCUCACUGCAAACAACUUGGCAGUGGCGGUGAGUUCCUCACUGUUAUCCGCCUCGUCAUAGAUCACACCGAGCUAUUUCACAAGUAUAAGAAUUAUACUCCGCCACCUAUUAACCCUGGUCACUAUGUUCAUAUGGGCGAGAUGAUGAACGAUUGCUGA
rnacentral:rRNA from 1 species